rnacentral:lncRNA from 1 species
AAAGUCCCCCAAGCGUUAUUCACAUCCUAUUGAUAAAGUCCCCCUUCUUGACAUCAAUAGCAAGAAUGCAUCUAAUAGUGGUCCUUUUGAUCACAGAAGAGAAAGUCUCUGUAGAAUCAAUCCCCUCUCGUUGAGUGUCUCCUCGAAUAACCAAACGAGCUUUAAUCCUUUUCACACUCCCAUCAGAUUUUAGCUUAACCUUGUAAACCCACUUACAAGGUGAGGCCUUUCUCCCAAUAGGUAAUGGAACUACAUCCCAAGUAUCAUUGGCCUUUAAAGCAUCAAGUUCCUUUGCCACUGCUUCCUGCCAACCAGGGUCCAAUGCUGGCUGAGAAUAACUAGAAGGCUUAUGGACACUAGGUAAGGAAUUUAGCAGGCUUUGAUUAGGAGCAGAAAGUAGAUUGGAUGAAAUAGUAGAAGUGAAAAUAAGUGAGAGAAAACAAGAGUGAGAGACAUUGGAUAGGUGCACUGCUCCACAGAUAUAGUUAAACAAAUAACUAGGUGCAUUGUGUUCUCUUAAAGAUCUGCACAAGGAAUCAGGAGGAACACCAGAAGGAGGAGGAUUGAUAGAAGGAUGAGAAGGAGAUGUAGAUGAGGAGGUAGGUGAAACAGUGGAAGAAGUAGAAGGAGUAGAAGAUGAUGUAGGAGAUGAACUAGGAAUAGGACUACGAUCAACUGGAGGAAUUAAAGUAGGAGAGGAAUAGAGGAAUCAGAAUAAGUGAGAGGCUGUGGUGUAGAAAAAUCAAUAUUAUAAGAAGUAGGAAAGAACUGCGAGAAGGUAGUGGUAGGAUGUGUAAAAGGAAAAAUAGAUUCAUGAAAAAUCACAUUUCUGGAGAGAAAAAUCUUAUUGCUUGCUAAAUUUAAUAGCUUGUAUCCUUUUUUACCAGUAGGAUAACCAAGGAACACACAAAUGAUAGCCCUAGGAUCAAGUUUGCCUCUAAGAUUGGGUAAAGUAAAGGCAAAACAUAAGCAGUCAAGUGGUUUGUGAAAUAAUAUUUCAUAAAGAGACUUGUAGUGUAGAAGUUUGGUAGGAAAAAAGUGGCAGUAAGUAGGCAUUCCUCCAAUAACAAAUAGGUACUUUGGAAUGAAAAAGAAGAGCUCUACAAGUUUCCAUCAAAUGUUUGUGUUUCUCUCAACAAUACCAUUUUGCUGAGGGGUCCCAACACAGGUGGUUUGGCGAAUGAUUCCUUUGGAAGAAAAAUAAGCUAUGGCAGCAAGACUGCUUCCUAGCUCAAAAGCAUUAUCAGACCUAAUUUUCUUGACUUUGACUUCAAAUUGUCUUUCUACCAUAGUUAUGAAAAAAUUGAGAACAGUGAAGGCAUUACUUUUAGUACUUAGUAGGUAUGUCCAAGUACUCCUACUAAAAUCAUCAACAAUAGUAAGAAAAUACUUAAAAUCAUUAUAGGUGAGUUCCUUAUAAGGUCCCCAGGUAUCUAUGUGAAUAAGUUCAAAAUAUGAGAAGUAAAACUUGUGCUAUCUGGAAAAGGUAAUCUGUGUUGUCUAGCCAUAAGGCAAAUGGAACAAGGAAUAUCUUUUUUACAAAUAGCAGAUUGUGGUGAGAUAGAAAUAUAUCUCAUGGUAGAAAUAGGUAAAUCUCCUAGCCUUACAUGCCACAGAUUUUUAUCAAUAUUAACAGAGUUAGACAAAGUAUGAGAAGUGCAACAAGUUUGAGAAGAGUUCUAUGAAAGUGUAACAGCUUUAUUUGAAUGUAGUAAAUCAGCAAGCUUGUGAGUUGAGUGGAAAAGGUAAAGACCAGCCUUCACAUUACCAAGGACCAGGGGCCUCCUCAAAGAAAGACCCUGCAUCAAAUAACAAGUUUCAACAAAGGUAAGAAGAACUUUGAAUUGAGUGCACAAUCUAUUAACUGAAAUUAGGUUGAAUUUAAAAUCUAGAACAUAAAGGACUCUGUGUAAGGUCAAAUCUAGAUGUAUGGUAACUUGUCGUUCUGCUAGAGUUACUCUUACUCUUUGUGAAUUAGGAAGAUUAACAUUAACAAGAUUAGGUAAUGGUUUGAUGUUAACAAUGAUGCUAGAGUCAAGGGUCAUGUGUUCUGAAGCACCAGAGUCAAGAAUCCAAAUAUGACUCCUAAGAUUGCUCUGUGAAUUAAGGCUGUUGGUUGUCGCAGUUCCGAACCGGAACCGGACCGGAACCGUGGCCCUGCCGGUUUUACCGGUUCCGGCGGCCCGGUUCCGGUUCUACCGGUUUCAGGGAACCGUCGGGCCGGUUCUACUCGUCGGAACCGCUAGAACCGGACCAGCCAGACCUGGAACCGGCUGGCAGUUCUGGACCGGUUCUGGCAGUUCCAACGGACAUUUUUCAAAUUUUUUUUUUUAUUAAUUAAUUUCAGUAACGGCUUUGUGCAAAAAGUAGCCGUUUGGAAGUUUAAAAAAUAGACAGUUGGCCCCCAAACUUUAAUUUAACCCCAAACUUUAUAUAUUUACAGUAUUUCCCAUUUCUCAACUAUAAAUACCCCUCAUUCUUUCAUUUUUAUUCACCAAUUCAUCAANNN